CGUAUAUUUAAGUUGUUGCAGUUAAAAAGCUCGUAGUUGGAUUUCGGGUGGGUUCUAGCGGUCCGCCUAUGGUGAGUACUGCUAUGGCCUAUCUUUCUGUCGGGGACGGGCUUCUGGGCUUAACUGUCCGGGACUCGGAGUCGACGUGGUUACUUUGAGUAAAUUAGAGUGUUCAAAGCAGGCUUACGCCCUGAAUACUUUAGCAUGGAAUAACACGAUAGGACUCUGGCCUAUCUUGUUGGUCUGUAGGACUGGAGUAAUGAUUAAGAGGGACAGUCGGGGG
rnacentral:rRNA from 1 species